CCCUGGGACCUAGGCCGGCGCGGGUGUGGGCGCCGGGGGCCGGGCGGGCGGGGCAGCCCGGAGCGCAGAGAGGGACGCGGGCACCGCGGAAAGCCGUCCGGCCGUGGGCAGAGGCUGUGCCCACCUUCGCAGAGCGCCCCUGCGCUCCCCAAGACGCUGAAACCUUGUUCUGGAAGCCGAGCCCAGCCCUGGGAUGAUGCAAGGAGGCCGGAGUCCCUGCAGCUCUGAAGCCUGAGUUCCAUAUGAGAGGCAGCGACAAGAGCUCUGAAAAUUCUGGGGAAAUAUGAAAUAACGCAUUUUCCAGAACUGAAAAGGGAACAGCCCUGGAGGUCAUCAGCAGUCAUCAGAAGCACCCAGCUGGGAAAGGACCACUGAGCCCUCCUCUGCCCUGACACUCCACCCUGAGACCAGAGGCGGCUGUGGGCAGGCUUGACUCGGGAGGCCUUCUCUUCCCUCUGUCCAGGGCCCGUCAGGUGAGGUGCCCUCCCGGCCUCUGCCUGAGGACAGCCUGCGCCCCCAGCCUUGCCUCUGCGGUGCCCACAGUGGCCUAGCCCAGCCAGGCUCCCUGUCUGUGGUCCUGGAACUCUGGAAGACUCUGGGGCCGCGCUGACUUUGGCCAGUGGACUUCAGGUGAACAGGCCCACUGCACCCCCAGGCCCUCUGCCCCGUGUGGGCAGGGGCUGCGCUCUGAGGAUGAGCAGGGAAAUGGAAACAGACAAUUGCAAAGCAGACGAUAACAGUUGCGUCCCAGCCAUACAAGCGUGCUAGGGGAGCACGCACGCACCCGCAGCCUAGCUUCCAGAAGCCAGGUCUCGUGGCAGCGCUCGGGCUCUUUAGGGGACCCUAAAGGCAAGUGUUGGAGUGGUUUGUGGACAGAAGGUGAUGGGCUAGGCCUGGGAGGGGGGCUCUGGGCAUCCACGGCAGUCAGUGCCAUCAGCCAUCUGAACAGGAGCCAUGCUGCCCGCCUGACCGCCUGGCAGUCACUCAGGAGGUCAGGCGGCACUGGCCUCUCUGAUGGGAGUGGCCCUCCUCGGCAUGUCCCACUGGCCCUGCCAGGGCAGCCACAGGGUCAGACCAAGGCGGGCCCCCGCGGGCUGUAGUCCAUGCUGGCCCAGGGUACCCACCGUCACC